rnacentral:rRNA from 1 species
GUGGGGAAUAUUGGACAAUGGGGGGAACCCUGAUCCAGCCAUGCCGCGUGUGUGAAGAAGGCCUUUUGGUUGUAAAGCACUUUAAGCGAGGAGGAGGCUACCGAGAUUAAUACUCUUGGAUAGUGGACGUUACUCGCAGAAUAAGUACCGGCUAACUCUGUGCCAGCAGCCGCGGUAAUACAGAGGGUGCAAGCGUUAAUCGGAUUUACUGGGCGUAAAGCGCGCGUAGGUGGCCAAUUAAGUCAAAUGUGAAAUCCCCGAGCUUAACUUGGGAAUUGCAUUCGAUACUGGUUGGCUAGAGUAUGGGAGAGGAUGGUAGAAUUCCAGGUGUAGCGGUGAAAUGCGUAGAGAUCUGGAGGAAUACCGAUGGCGAAGGCAGCCAUCUGGCCUAAUACUGACACUGAGGUGCGAAAGCAUGGGGAGCAAACAGGAUUAGAUACCCUGGUAGUCC